UACGUAGGGUGCAAGCGUUAAUCGGAAUUAUUGGGCGUAAAGCGUGCGCAGGCGGUUUUGUAAGCCAGGUGUGAAAUCCCCGGGCUUAACCUGGGAAUGGCAUUUGGGACUGCAAGGCUUGAGUGCGGCAGAGGAGACUGGAAUUCCUGGUGUAGCAGUGAAAUGCGUAGAUAUCAGGAGGAAUACCGAUGGCGAAGGCAGGUCUCUGGGCUGACACUGACGCUCAUGCACGAAAGCGUGGGGGGCAAACAGG
rnacentral:rRNA from 1 species